AUUGAACGCUGGCGGCAGGCUUAACACACGCAAGUCGAGCGGGGUGAUGGUGCUUGCACUAUCACUUAGCGGCGGACGGGUGAGUAAUGCUUAGGAAUCUGCCUAUUAGUGGGGGACAACAUCUCGAAAGGGAUGCUAAUACCGCAUACGUCCUACGGGAGAAAGCAGGGGAUCACUUGUGACCUUGCGCUAAUAGAUGAGCCUAAGUCGGAUUAGCUAGUUGGUGGGGUAAAGGCCUACCAAGGCGACGAUCUGUAGCGGGUCUGAGAGGAUGAUCCGGCACACUGGGACUGGGACACGGCCCAGACUCCUACGGGAGGCAGCAGUGGGGAAUAUUGGACAAUGGGGGGAACCCUGAUCCAGCCAUGCCGCGUGUGUGAAGAAGGCCUUAUGGUUGUAAAGCACUUUAAGCGAGGAGGAGGCUCUUUUGGUUAAUACCCAAGAUGAGUGGACGUUACUCGCAGAAUAAGCACCGGCUAACUCUGUGCCAGCCGCCGCAGUAA
rnacentral:rRNA from 1 species